CAUUGUUUCUUUUUAGACCAGUCCAUAGACCGUUAGGAUAGGUACGAAACUAUAAAGAACUAUAGGAAUCUAUUUGCUUGUACUAGUAAUUAAGCUACAGAAUGCAGAGUAUUCAAAGUCGAAUGAAAAGCCGGAAAAAUCCUAGGUGUAGGUGAAGCAGCUGAUGGUCAACUACAUAGGUCAAAGAUAACACAAAUUCUUGGAAAUGAUUCUUUGACGAAUUGGCAGAUUGCUCGAGCAGAAUAUCCAGUAGGUCUUCAAGCAUUACAGUGGUUAUCUUGUUUAUGGUUUUCUGUCAUUGGAUUGAUCAGUCUGUUUUCUCCUGAAAGUAUUUUACCGCCUACUUUACUGAAAUCGGUCGACAUUUCAGAACAAGAUGCAACCCCCAACAGAGAAUUAUUAGUCGGAAUGCGACUAUCACUAAUUUCAGGAACUCGUCUGUACGGUGCUGCCAUGGUGGCUUUGGCAUCAUUAUGUUUAAUCGUCACCUUAGCUAAUUGGCAGAGCCGACGAGCAAUCAGAAUCGCCCUUCUGGUUCAAGGAAUAUUCUGUACAUCUGAAAUUCUAGCUUCAUUUUUGUCUGGCCCUUCACAUUGGGAUCAAAUUAGUCGACAUCCACUUAUUUGCUGCACAAUUCGCAUCUUAGUCAGCGUUGCUUCAUUCUACUAUUUCAAACAAACCAGACCCUGCACACAUGGAAUCAUGAAGAGAGCAUCGGAAUAAGUUUCAAAUAUGCAACCGAAACUGAGAUAUCAUAGCAUGCUCAACGUCAAAACUCAAUCAUGAAAUAGUUGUAUUUACCUCGAUAACGACUUACGUGGCGGCAAGCGGAAAUACAACUGAAAGUCAAAAUGUUUCGAGACCAACGUUAUGGGAAGUAAUCGAUUGCUCGAUCGCCAACUAUUUCCCAAACAUUUUCACAGACUUGGAAUGGAAAAUGAGUACCGGCGAUAAACUCCAUCGCAUUACACAUCUCUCACUUUCGAAAAAGCCUGCCGUCUUCAUGACCACGUAUACCCGUAUUGACUCUUCUCAAAUUUUUGAUAUAACUUUGCUGUGCAAUUUAAACCUUGUAAUAUCAAAUACUGCACAUUGUUUGUGUGCAUAAAUAUUUCUAUAAAUAGUCUCGGUAUAAAAA